GUCUGGACUGAAUGUGUGUGUGUGUGUGUGUGUGUGUGUGUGUGUGUGUGUGUGUGUGUGUGUGUUUAUAUCUACCAUGCCAUGCACAUAGGGGUGUCAGAGCUGACCAUUAAGUAUGUGGGAGAUCUUUCCCUUUAAUUGCGAGCAGUACUCAGUAUGCAACAUGGAAACCAGUAUGGAAAGCUGUCCUUCAUGUUAAAAUGAGGUUCCAUUACUGUUGUUAUCUUAUGAUGUGGAGUUCGAACUGUAUCGUUGAGGAAAAUCAAGCAGAUCAAUAUCAAGCUCCUUCUCUUAUCUUCAGAGAUCUGAUGGUCAUAUUCACGCUAAUUUAAAGACAAGACGGCUAUAAAAGAAGAAGGGUCCCAACCCUAAAUGCCAGCUUUCCUCCCUCUCUGAUGCUGCCUGGCCUGCAGUGUUCCUCCAGCUCCACACAGUGUUAACUCUGACUCCGGCACCGGCAGCUCUGAGUGUUUAGUCAAUUCUGCUUUUGAUCAUUUGGUACAAUAAAAGUUCCAAAACAUGAAGGUUUGACAGGUUCUUCUAUUAGUUGUUAACUGGAAACUUGAAUUUCUCAUCAGUUAUUAUUGGACUGGACAGAGAUCAUAAUAUUUAUUCAAGUUUGUUGUUGACCUGGCUGCCACAUUUGGGUAGGAAAGAGAUUUCUUUUGACUUGUUACAAUGAAAUGUGCAAGUGUUACAUCAGAACAUCAAUAGGCCAUUCAGCCCUAAUUCCAUUCUGCCAUUCAAUUAUAUCAUGGUUGACCAACACCUUGAUUCUAAUUGCCCAGCUUAUUUUUGUAAUGCCAUUAUAUAAAUAGAAAUCAGUUUUAAAUGUUAUAAUUUACUGCUCAGCCUCAACAGAUUUUUUUGAUGGUCAGAUUUUUGGGUAUCUACUUUGCAUGACAAAUUUUUCCGUGGCAUUGCUGAUAAAUGUCCUAACUCUAAUUUUGUUGCCAUGUCCCCUUGUUUUCCCAAACAUAAGAAAUAUUAUCUCUAUCUAUCCUGUCAAAUCCCUUAAUCAUCUUAAAAUCUCAGUUAGUUCACUUCUUAAUCUUCCAUGUGUAUAUUAUCAUAACAAGUUGUGUUGCGAGUUGCAUGUAUAUCAGGUUGUUUUUGCUGUUUUGGGAGGGUGGAUUAAUCUGUGAAUGGGUUGGGUUGGAUAUGUCACUGUGUAUAUCUGACAUGUGUUGCUUUUGAUUUAGUUGGAAGCAGCAAAAGGUGUUGAUACUAAGGGUGUAUUUGUGUUCUGAUGAUUGCAUUUUGCAACUUGCCAUUUCAUUUUCAAUCACAUAUUUUCUGUUUCAACAGUUAGUCAUUUUGCAUAUGUUAUCUGUAGAGUGUUGAGAUUUUUAAAACUAAAAUGUUUUCAAUGUAAUUCCUCUCCCUGUGAUGAACUUGGCACAACAACACGGUGUUUCUUCGGAGAUAGAUUAUUACGGCUCAGUUUGUCAUUAUUUAUGCUUGUUAUGGACCAGACCAAACCCCCUCAAAAUAUAUUAAGACGAUAGUCAAGACUCUAACUUUUUCUUAUUUUAAAGUGUAAAGCAUUGGGUUCUGGAUGUAAUUAAAUUGGUUAAACAUCCAAGGCUUGAAGCAAAACACACUUUAUUCAUACACUAUAAUUAAAAUACAAACAAAAUAAAGAAUUGACUUAACUAUAACUCUAUUGAAAUGCUUAAUAAACUUGCAAAUUCAGUAAAAUAGAUGGUCUCACAUGCAGUUUUAGCUGCAAGAAGAGAGCCUCAGCUUUUAGCUGUAACAGAGAGAGGAAUAAGAGCUUCCACAUCCUCCUUCAGGACCCCAACAACUGCUGAAAGCUAAAACUAAAACUCCUGGCUCUGUGGCCGCUUGACCCCACCCAUUCAGGCUGCUCCUCUAUUGUUCCAAUUUUUAAAAAACCCAGUUCACAAGCUGUUUAUUUUACUGGCUUUGAGCACACCUCUGUCUCAACGGCGACAGGGAGAGUGCAGGGAAGUGGAGUUGAAAUGUCCAUCAGCCAUGAUUUAAAUGACGGAGUGGACUCGAUGGGCCAAAUGGCCUUACUUCCACUCCUAUGUCUUAUGGUCUUAUGGUCAACCUUUUUUCAUAAAAAAAAGGCACAGUAUUGUAAUAUGCUACACAACUCCAGCGGUAGAAUCGCUACUGUUAAAAUUGUAACAUGAAUGCAUCCUACAUCUACUGUCAUGUAUUGCAUUUGCACUACUUGUUGACCAAAUUUUAAAGGGUUAUUUAAAAUAUAUCUUCGUGAACAAAAUUGCAAUGGUCUUAGAAACAAAAUCAGAAAUUGCCGCUGCAUGUCUGGCAGCAUCUGUGGAGAGAAUGCAGAGUUAACGUUUCAGGUCUGUUGGCCCUUCUUCAGAACAGUGUAAUGGCCACAGAGACAGGUAGUGAGGUAGAAUAGGGAAGAGAGGAAGCACUUUUUCACGUUAAUACUGGUAGACAUUUUGGACUCUCUCCCAGAAAGGUACAGGUGCUGUGACAAUUGGAAGUUGGAGGACUAGGCUAGAUGAGAAUUUUGUUAGGACUCGAUGGAUAUGGAACAGAGGUGGGAAAUCAGAGCGGAAUUGCAAAUCAGCCAUGAGCUGAUUGAAAAACAGAGGAGUGCAAGGGAGCUGAAUGGUCUGCUGUUAUGCUAAAUAUUUCCAUUACUCUUCACUCUUCUUUUACUCCUGUAUAAUAUAAAACACAAAGUUGGGAUCAAAUCAAAGACCUCUGUGUGACUGGUGUGCUCAUGUAGAAAAAUAUUCCAAGGCUUUUCAAUGAGGCAUGAGAAAACAAUGGUCAACAAACCAAAAGGGCCAUUUAGGAUGGCCUGAGCAAAGCGUGGUUGGGUAGAUUGACUUCCCUCAGAGGCCUAAAGGUACUAUGAAGCUUUUUCAUAUUGAAUAUCUAUUUGAGGGCUUAAGUUUGAAGCAUUGUGCAGAUUCAUGAAUUUACUUUCAGUGUCAAUCAAAAGAUAUUAGGAUAUUAUCUUAAUACGCUUCUGGAAAUUACCUGGCUUGUGAUAAUUUUUUGUUUUGGUGGCUUGAAGCCACUUCAGGAUGAGCAUCUGACAGUGUUAUGACUGGGUUUUAGGGCUCUCCUGUUUGAACAGUGUCUUCAGGGUUGAAGAUUCUGUUUUGGCAUGCUAAGAUCAAGCUGCCAAACUCAUGUCUCCUGGCUCCAAACCACAGUUACAGUGAAUUCAGUGUGAAACCUGAUACAAAUUCCAAGAUGGUGGUGAAUUAGGAUGCUUCAGUUCGAGCUCCUCUGCUCCAUCUGUUUAUUUCUCAUUUCCUUCAUUUUUCCCCCUUUUUUCCUCUUUUUCUUCCCCCUUUUUAGUGUUUUCACUCUCUUGGUGUUUCUUCACCUCUCCGUGACGGCUCUUGGCCUGGUCUCUUUGUGGCUCAUGGUGGAUAUUGGCCUGGUCUCUCGGCAGCUUGUGAUGGAUCACAGCCUGAUUGUCAGUGGUUUGUGGUGGGACUUGGCCUGGUCUCUCAGUGGUUUGUGGUGGGUCUCGGCCUGGUCUUUCAAUGGUUUGUGGUGGGCCUCGGCCUGGUCUCUCAGUGGUUUGUGGCAGGCUUUGGCCUGGUCUUUCAAUGGCUCUUGACUGGUCACUCUGUAGCUGGUUGCGAGUCUUGGCCUGGUCUCUCGGCCCAGCGUGAGAGUGGGUCUUGACUGGGCAUGUUCCUGUGACACCAAGGGAAAUCGGAGAGACGACAGCACCAGCAGCAGUGACGGUAUCUGCGGUGGCAACAUCAAGAACAGGCAGCUGUGGUCUCCCGAAGAGUGAGAUAAGAGGAGGACCCAUCAAAGACUGUUGAAUUUUUAACGUAUCCCUUUUAUUUUCCUUGUUUCAAUUAAGAAAGACUUUAAUGUAAACUAUUACCUUAUUUCUUUAUUUUACUACUUAUUCUAUGA